GGAAUAUGGGCCUGCCAUGGGCCUACCCUUAGCCUUCACUAAAUUUAGUUAUACCCGCAAUUUGGCUAAUGAACCAUGUCUUUAGAUAUUUCGUUUAUUGAAUUCUCAUAAUCAUCUAUCUCAUGGUCGAAAUCUUUUUCACCAUCGUGAUGAACUAAAUGAGCUUCUUGAUUCUUUUCAAACUCUCUUGAUAGAGAUCAACGAGAUGCUUAGGUGUCCUGCACGUCUUAGUCCAAUGGUUUCCCCAUUCCUCAUCAGUGGCAAACAAGUUUAUUUGAGUGUUGUGGUUUGGGUAUACCGUGGCCUCUACCUCGAUUACGACCAAAGUCGGGUCGGCGGCCUUAACCAUAUGAAUGGUUUGCUUGAUCAUAUAAAUUAUAAUUGCCACUUCUACCACGUUCAUUCCAUUUA
rnacentral:lncRNA from 1 species